UCGCACGGCUCGCCGAGGCGGCGGAGGACCUGUCGCUCGUGCCGGCGGUGCUCACGUUCGACCCGCAUCCGCGCGAA
rnacentral:tRNA from 1 species